CUCGAGCGAAAACUUUGGCUUGUAUUUUAUAAACCACAUUUGUUGUCCUGUGAAUGUGAUGCUCCUUGUGGGCGAGAAUAAAUACAACUUUCAACAACGGAUCUCUUGGCUCUCGCAUCGAUGAAGAACGCAGCGAAAUGCGAUAAGUAAUGUGAAUUGCAGAAUUCAGUGAAUCAUCGAAUCUUUGAACGCACCUUGCGCCCCUUGGUAUUCCGAGGGGCAUGCCUGUUUGAGUGUCAUGUUAACCUCAAAUCACACUUGUCUUUUGGGGCUUUGUGGUUUGGACCUGGAGGUUUCUGCUGGCCCCUGCGGUCGGCUCCUCUUAAAUGCAUUAGCUGGGUUUCGGCUCGCGUUUGUGGUGUAAUAGUUAAUUCUUUCGCCUGAGCGCUUGCCUGAUGGGCCCGCUUCUAAUCGUCUGCUUGGUCGGACAAGGUCCUUUGGCCUUCUUGACUCUUUUGACCUCAAAUCAGGUAGGACUACCCGCUGAACUUAAGCAUAUCAAUAAGCGGAGGAAAAGAAACUAACAAGGAUUCCCCUAGUAACUGCGAGUGAAGCGGGAAGAGCUCAAAUUUAAAAUCUGGCGGCUCUGCCG
rnacentral:rRNA from 1 species